rnacentral:rRNA from 1 species
AAUCAACGCUGGCGGCAUGCCUAACACAUGCAAGUCGAACGGGAAAGUGGGAGCAAUCCCAUGAGUAUAGUGGCGCACGGGUGAGUAACACGUGACUAACCUACCCUCGAGUGGGGAAUAACCCCGGGAAACCGGGGCUAACACCGCAUAAUACCGGCAAGGUCAAAUGCGCAAGCAGCUUGAGGAGGGGUCGCGGUUGAUUAGCUAGUUGGUAGGUAAUGGCCUACCAAGGCAGUGAUCAAUAGCCGGCCUGAGAGGCGCACGGCCACACUGGAACUGAAACACGGUCCAGACUCCUACGGGAGGCAGCGAGUGGGAAUUUGCGCGAAUGGGGAAACCCUGACGCAGCAAUGCCGCGUGGAGGAU